AAAAUAUUAUAUCACUUUUAAUUUACAGAUUAGUUUUUGUUGAUCAGAAUUUGUUGUACAAAUAGGUUCUUUGCUGUUUGGCUUACCUUCUGCAAGAAGAAAAAGCCCAAACUUUGAAAGAUGGAAGUUUUCUUCUCUCAUCGAAUGUGGGCUCAUUAUGUUUGCCAAGGAAUGAAGAAGCAGAGUUAACACCUAUACUUUUGGGUAUUUUGAUAUUUGUGUACUUGUGUUGUCACAUAUUUUUACUCCUCUGGAGUCAAUCUAUUUUAUGUAUGCAAAUUCCUUUCCCAUGUUAAUUUUAUGCAUUUUAAAGAAAUCUCUGUUUAGAGUGUUAUUUGUAAUAAUAAUGUGUUCCAGGUUUUAUUGUUGUUGUUUUUUUACUGGUGGAAAAUAAGUUCUUGCAGUUUAAUGGGGACCCAUGACACUAUCCAGACUUGGAAAAUGAAAUGAAAAUUCUUUGAUUUUAACCUGAUAGUGGUCUUUAUGAUAAUCCCAAUGCCACAGCAUAAAUUCAGAGCAAUAACAUGUACCUUUCUCAAUGUCUAUCAAAAUGGCAUAAUAAACUGAGAAUUGGCCCAUUUUAAAGAAGAGUUCAAGUGCUUGUAAUCAAAGUAAUCAAUAAAAGUUGAUUAGAUAUAAAUAAUGGAACAGAGUUCUCACUGUUCUCAUAUCCACUCAUUAAUUCAGACUUUUCUCAUUAUUAUAGAUUAUAAAAUCAUAAUUAUAAUUUAUAAAUACUUUAGAUCAAAUGAAAUAAUAUUUUCCUCUAAUAACUUUAUACAAAUCAUUCUAUGCUAACCUAGUACAUACCUUAUUCCUCAGACUAUUGAAGCUGAAGGUUAGUAACUCAUACAUUCACUCCAUCUUCAUGUAAAUACAAAUCAAACUUAUUUACAAUGAUUAAAAUACAGAUGUUAAGAGACAAAGCUAAUCAGGUUUUCUGCAUGUAGCUGCUGUGUUUAGAGUUGCUCAAAUUGACUUGAGGUAGACUGAAAGCAAUUUUCUCUAACAGGCCUAUGAAAUUCUAUUUUAAAGUCAAACAGGAUUUUUUUCAAUAAACUAACACUUUCUUCUGUGUGGUAUUUUCCUCCAUGAGUUUUUUCUUCUGUGCAGCUGCCUUGGUGAUCCCUCCAUCUGAACUUCUCUUUCCUUCCAUCUUCAUUUAUCUCAAAACACAGAUCCAAAUCGACUAUAUUUUUUUCUGACUUUUUGUUUGACUUGAAGAAAAUUCAUCUCUACUUCCUUUUGGACUUACCAUUACAGCUUUUUGUCAACUGAUCAUACCUUCCCUUUCAGAGUGGAAGCUUAUAGGUGGGAUGAAUUUUUCAUCUGCUCAUUAAGCAGACCAGCAGUGCUCAGUGUGGGCUUUAAGCAGAGUAGACCAUCUUUAGUGACUGAAUGAAGAAUGCGAUUUUACUCUCCUCCCAUAGUAAGUUAUGUAUGUCAAAAAAUGAAUCAUUAGCUAUCUUCCAAUAAUUAUUCUUAGGGAUUUCUCUCUUAAUUAAUAAUGAUCUUUCUUUCUUCUUCAGCGUAACAUUGCUUUAAAAAAUGCUUCAUGAGAAAUGGCUAAAAAAGGGAGAAAACAUAUUUCAAAUUAUAGC